rnacentral:rRNA from 1 species
CCCUUAGAUGUUCUCGGCCGCACACGCGCUACACUGAAAGAGGCAACGUGUUUGCCUGAUUCGAAAGAAUUGGGUAACCCCCUAAUCUCUUUCGUGCUGGGGAUUGAGGUUUGCAAUUAUCCUUCAUGAACGAGGAAUUCCCAGUAAGUGCAAGUCAUAAGCUUGCGCUGACUACGUCCCUGCCCUUUGUACACACCGCCCGUCGCUACUACCGAUUGAAUGAUUUAGUGAGGACUUCGGACUGGGACCGAUGCGGCUUUCGGGCUGCGUCGGUAUUCUGGAAAGAUGUCCAAACUGUAUCAUUUAGAGGAAGUAAAANUCGUAACA